CGGGGUUGCUUGUUCCCAUUUGCAAGCACUGCGACUGCCUGCCCUGCUGUCUCGUCUUAUGUUCUUGCUGCAAGUCCUGACCCACCCCAGAGUCCAGAGUCAGUCCAUUGCCUGUGCCCCGCCUGCUCUCCAGUCGUCUCCAAGAAAUUCCAUCUGACUGGUGCUUUCUCAGGCUGAUGCCUCCCCCCUGCCCCCGCCAACGAGGUUUCUUUCUUUUGUAAAAUGUAGACAAUAAAAGAAAUGUAAGAGAACUGCAACAAACUAGUUUUUCAGGAGAGGCUGAAAGGGUGAAAUGAACAGUGAGUUUGUGCCUAGAGAGGUCCAGAAAUGUGAAGGCUCUCCAGGUUCCAUCCUGUCCCGCCUCCUUCUUGUUAAAAAAACAACCACUUGUCUUUGCAUUUUCCAACCUGUGAGCAGUUGUGGCUUGCAGUUUGCAAGGCAGGAGGUUUUUCAAUGGAAAUCCUGCAAGAAGAGGGUGAGUUCAAGGAAGAGAAAGGAAGCCUUGACUGUAUAGAAGAAGGGAAAACCCAUUGCUGGUGGGGAAAAGGCCGGAACAGGGCUGCAGAUCCAGUGCUCAGCUGCAAAGGAGGAGAGAGUGCCUUCCUUUUAGUUGUAUGUGGAGGAAGGGGAUUUUGAUGUACCCUGAUGAGGCCUCUCUCGAGGCUCGAAUUCAAGGAAAAAGCCACGUCUCAGCUGCAUCAAGUGAUGAAUAUCAAGUGUUCCAGAUGGUGUUGCUUGGAGAUUGUUGCUCUUCAAAAGAAAAGCUAUUGUUGGGGGUUCCGCAGGACUCCAUUCAAUCUCCAAUGCUCUUUAACAUCUACAUGAAAGUGCGGGGAGAGAUCAUGGGGGAUUUGGUGCAGGGUGUUAUCCAUAUGCUGCUGAUAACCCAAUCUAUUUCUCCAUGUCAACUUCAUUAGGAAAUAGCCUAUCUUCCCUAAAUGCUUACUUGGAGUCAGUAAUGGGCUGGAUGAGGAAAAACAAACUGAGGUUGAAUACAAGGAAGAUGACUGGAAGAUAGGAAGUGGCUUAGAUCUGUCUGUUCUGGAAGGGGUUACACUCCCCCAGAAAGAGUAGAGUUUUCCAGCCAAUUAAAAAUGAAGACCUUUCUAAGCCAAUGCACACACUGGAGCAGCUCUUCACUCCAACCCUGAUAUCUCAACUGCCUUCAAUCAAAAAAAAUCUCAGUCAUCGACUCUGAUUCCAAAAAAGGUGUUUUCUACCUAAGCCUGAACAGGGACUUCCAGUCCAAGACAUGGAUGAUUAUGAACUCAACAGAGCCUCCAGAGACUGCUCCGCUCCCAAAAAUGGGAGACCAGAGAAGCCACACCAACAUCACCCUUCAAUCCUGAACAUGAGGUAGAUCAUGAUCUGCUUCACUUGGAAGGCGAUACCAUCAACCCUAGCUGCUCUCCUCAACACUGACCUCCUCCGGACUGAAGAGCCUCUCCUAUACGAUACUGACGAUACAGAAGAGAGUCUACAUGAUACCAAUACUCUCCGGGUGUCAGAGAAUCUCCUUGCCGUCGGUACUCUCCAAAACACUCAUCGGAUUGGGUAUAUUGUGACUGAGAAAGUUGACAUUGAGAUGACUCUACAUCUGAUCAUGCCUGAUCAUUACGCUUACUUCUUCGACAACAGAUAUGGCAUUGAUCAUAGGAAAAACUAUCUCCAGCCUUGCUCUUGGGCUUCACAUCAACACCAAUCUCUGGGGAGAUUGGACCAUCCAGACUCUUGGUCCCGAUCACACUCUCCUCAACACUGCAGUACUUGGUCUCAGUCAAGAGAGAAGAGAACUCAACCAUGUAAGCAGCCGGAUGUUGACUCUCUACCACUGGAUUCCUUGACUGAAGAAUCUGCCUCAGAGGAAGAUGCAGAAACAUCCCUGAACAUUGCAUCAGGUUCCACACCUUCAGAUCUAAUGGGAGAUCCAAAGCCUCUGUCUCCAUCAGAGUACCUGAAGCUCUUCACUGACCAAGUGGUCCAUAUGGCUAACUCUUUAGGUAUCCAGAUGAACAAACCUCCUAAAUCUUCUCCUGAUCCCAUUUUGGGGCCAAUUGAUGCGGACACUUGGCACUCUAACUUCCUACCACUGAACUCUGCUUGAAUGGACAUUGUCAAAGCUUGCUGGGGGAAACCUGCAUCGUUGCCACCUACUUCUAGGAAGCUGGAAGGUUUUUACAAGGUUCAAGCUAGGGACAGUCAGUUCCUUCUGCACCAUCCUACUCCUAACUCCAUGACAGUUGAAACUGCUCAGAUCCAAUCCAAGAACAGAAUCCUUUUGGCACUGACAGUAUGAUUCAGUCAAUAUCUGUUGUGGUAGCUCUGCACCAGCACACGUGGAUGUGUUCAACUAGCUUGGCACCUGAAACAAGAACAAGAAUAGAGUCGUGGGCAUGCUGGAAGAGUCCGAGGAGGAGUUGGAAGUGGAGACAGAGCUGAGAGCAGAGGAGGGUGGGCAAGGACCAGAAGUUGCAAAGGAGAGUGGGUCCGACGCACAAGGAGUCAAAGAUUGGGGGCAACAGGUUUGUGUGAAGCUGCUGUGCAAUGAGCCCUGCCCAUUGGUUGUGGGCCUUUCAUUAGAUUAGCAGCACCAUGGGAUGGACCCCAGGGAACACAGGUUUCUUCCAUGUUUUAAAUGUCAUGUUUAAAAGGGGCAGGAGUUAAGUUGUAUGUUCCGUCUGGUAGGUGUGCUCAGGAGCAACUGGAGCUACAUCAUCAUCAUCAUCAUCAUCAUCAUCAUCAUCAUCAUCAUCCAAUAUCCAGUAAUCCAAUUCAUGAUGGUCUUGUCUAUAUGCAUUUGAGUAUAAAAAUGUCCAUAAAGUA